CGGCUGGCGGCGUGCCUACACAUGCAGUCGAGCGGUAGAGAGAAGCUUGCUUCUCUUGAGAGCGGCGGACGGGUGAGUAAUGCCUAGGAAUCUGCCUGGUAGUGGGGGAUAACGCUCGGAAACGGACGCUAAUACCGCAUACGUCCUACGGGAGAAAGCAGGGGACCUUCGGGCCUUGCGCUAUCAGAUGAGCCUAGGUCGGAUUAGCUAGUUGGUGAGGUAAUGGCUCACCAAGGCGACGAUCCGUAACUGGUCUGAGAGGAUGAUCAGUCACACUGGAACUGAGACACGGUCCAGACUCCUACGGGAGGCAGCAGUGGGGAAUAUUGGACAAUGGGCGAAAGCCUGAUCCAGCCAUGCCGCGUGUGUGAAGAAGGUCUUCGGAUUGUAAAGCACUUUAAGUUGGGAGGAAGGGCAGUAAAUUAAUACUUUGCUGUUUUGACGUUACCGACAGAAUAAGCACCGGCUAACUCUGUGCCAGCAGCCGCGGUAAUACAGAGGGGUGCAAGCGUUAAUCGGAAUUACUGGGCGUAAAGCGCGCGUAGGUGGUUCGUUAAGUUGGAUGUGAAAUCCCCGGGCUCAACCUGGGAACUGCAUUCAAAACUGUCGAGCUAGAGUGAUGGUAGAGGGUGGUGGAAAUUUCCUGUGUAGCGGAUGAAAUGCGUAGAUAUAGGGAAGGGAACACCAGUUGGCCGAAGGGCGACCCACUCCUGGACUGGAUACCUGCACACUGAGGGUGCCGAAAGCGUGGGGGGAAGCC
rnacentral:rRNA from 1 species